rnacentral:lncRNA from 10 species
AGUGAAGCUGACCCUCCAUCCUGAGCUGGUCUGGCCUGAGAGAGGUAGGGGUGAGAUGUGCUGGGAAGCCAGAAAGGGAGGUGCUGGUAAGAGACACCCCAUCCAGGGCCAGAACCGCGGUCAGCCACAGUCAAGAAGACUUGAUUCAUGAAGCACGUCUGGGACCCCGGUUUACACUCAGUUUCUGAAAAACAGCUGCAUGAGCAGAGAACGCUUUGGCUAACAGUGACUGUCUCACAAUAUUGUGGGAAUAUCAAGUACCCGAUGGAUACAAGGUCAACCACACCCCCAAUACACACCCACCCACACCCACAGAGGAAUGAGAGAAGAGAAUGAGAAAGUGGAAGAAAAAUGCAUUUGUCCUAGAGUAAAACAUUAUGAUAAGUAAAUUUGUUGACAAUCAGAAUUCUGUGACUAUUCAUGUUUUGAACUCUCCUCUUAUAGCUUUCAGAUUUAUAGGAAUAAUAAGACAACCCUGCAACCUUCUGAGUGGUGUCAUAUAGCUUCACCUCCCUUCUCAUGAUGGAGAAGAACAGAUUCGAUACUGCAUCACUUUACAGCUAAACUCCAGUCUCCAUCCCUCUCUAAAGAUGUCUAUGUGUUUUUUUUCCUUUGCCUACAAAUGUUUUUCCCCUUUUCUAUCAGUAGCUUAGGCUCUGACAGUUCAUUAUGAGCACAAUAAAAUCCAGUUUAUUCCCUCCAUCAAUCAUCGAAGAAAAUUCACAGAAUUGUAGUCAUUAAUUUCAUCACUUUAAGCACAGAAUGAUAAUUUCAUUUUCCAUUCUGAUUGCUUGUAAAUUUUUAUGAAUUAUUUGCAUCAUUAAAAAUUUGACAUGUGUCCAACAUGAAAAUUCAGAGCUGUUUGGAUUAGACAGACUUUUUUUUUCUCCUUCUGUCUUGUGUCAGGCACGUAUAUUGGUUAUGUUUAGUGUGUUGAAACUUUCUCUUCUCUGUGGAGGGUGACAAAAAACAAAGUUACGUUCCUGGGAAGUGAGAGAAAAUGCCAAAAAAAAUCAGAUACAUGACACAAUGAGUGACUGAUACAUAAUUUAGCUCUUCCUACAGCAGUGGUGUUCAGGGACUUACAUUCAGAUCUUACCAUGUGGAGUUAAAUUGUAAUUUGCUGGUCAUGUCCAGGGACCCCGGCUGGGUCAAUGUUUUAUCUGUAAUCACGUUACAGCACAUCUAGUUUGCAACCCCACAUUUUUGUAUAUUAACAACAGUAACAUGUAUUAAAUGUUUACUAUAUCCUCAAUAUAAUGCUCAGCACUGUACAUAUAGCAUAUGGUAUAUGUGCAACAGUCCUGUGAUCGGGAUAUGAUUACUUCCAUUUUACAUAUGAGGUGUCAAAGAGACUCACCAAGGCUGAGGAAAGUUUUCGUCUAAUGCUACAGAUACUUAUCAUAUUAUCUAUAUAUUGUUAUUAUGCCCCAAAUGUUAAAAGUUUGCAUUAACUUAGACAUGUUCUUUCUCAGAAAUAAUUUGUUUUAAUCAAAUGUCCCUUUAGCCCUGUAAAAAAUAUCCUGCAGACAAAAACAGACAUCUUAGAUUUUGUAAUUUUAUUUUACCCUGGCAUUUUGGGAAAAGAUGUAUGAUCAGUCUCUCAAUAAACAUUAAU